GAGAGCGGGAGGCUCGACCUCUUCCCGGCUGCGUCGUGGCUCUGGCCUUGCGCGGCGGGGCCACGUCUUCCGGUUAGGUCCCAGGAAGUGCCUGGGCAGUAGGGCCCAUGCGGUCCAGUCCCCAGUCUUCCAGACUGUCGCGAAAGCGAGGCCCAGCCUGGCUGCUCUGGCGCGGGACAGCCCUGGCCCUAGAGGGUCGUCGCUGUGCACCUGAAGGUCACAGGGCCCAACAACCCAAGACGCGUCCCCGCUGGACUUUGGAUGAUUUCUCCCAGAGUUUUGGGGAUCUCAUAACUAUAUGGAGCUCCAGGCUGUUCUAUGCUCGGGGGUCGAGGUCCGCGGGUCGCAGCAGUCCGCUUGGGCCGCAGAGGUCGGCAAAAGUGAGGGGCACGUCUGUGAAUCUGCCAGUGCGUGGACCUGCAGGAGUGUGAGAUCAUGGGUGUGGGUGACUGGGAUCGUGGCAGAGUGAACAGACCACUAUGCUAUGUGGCUUGAGAAACGGGGCAAAGCAUAGAAAGGACCCCCUAGGACCAGCCCACCUGCGAGAGAGGGGCGGGGCUGGCCUGCGCGCUCACCAGGCUCUUGAUUCCCUUUCUCAGGGAGCACCACCAGGGUUCUCUGGAGCAGCUUGGGGGGAGGGGCAGUUCGAGAGAGUCCCGUUCCAGCGUCACCGCACCUGCCCUCCCUUUCCCUACCCCUCCACCCUGCCGCCGCUGAAGAGCUAUUUGGCCUGUCCUGUCGGCCUCCGGGCCUCCAACCAACCUGUUGCUUUUUUGACUUGCAGCUUCCUCUUCGCCUGCUUCGGCCCUGUUGCUCUUCUCCGCUGGGUGUGCUCCCCUCCCCCACUUUACAGAUGAGCCCAGAGGUGCUGUAAUUUACCCGAGGCCACACAGCUACCGGUAGCAAAGUUGGGAUGGGACCCAGGGACCUUAAAAGAGAGCAAGGCCGCUCCUUCGAAGCUGGUGAUGUCAUUGCUGUCCUGCCAGCUACACUUGCUCCUGUGGCAAGGCAAUACUGAGACUCCAGCCUGUCCCAAGCUGGGCUCUUGCUUUGAAUACAAGACACCCUUCUCUUCUGCCCCUAGAAUUUCCAGCUCUAGGUCUGCGAGAAGGGGCUGCCUUCCUAGUUACGCAGGGACAAAGGAACAGCUUCAAAACCUGUUAGGGGCCAGGGCUGGAUGCUUUUAGGGGUAGGGAAUGGGAGUGAGUGGGCUCAGAGUCUUGGAUUGUGUAGGGGCCCAGGACAGGGAGGUCACCACAGAAUAGAGACCUCUCGGGGAACUGGCCCAGGCAUGUGAGGCAGCAAGGCCAGCAGAUUAGCUGUGUGACUUCUUAACCUUGGGCAAGGCUUCGCUAGAGUUCAGGCUUCUCAUCUGCAAAAUGAGGACUGAACAGUGCUAUUUUAGAGCACGGUUUAAAGAUUCUGUGAUCUGGGAAAAUCAGAAAAAUCAGCAGAGAGAAACCAUUUCCAAUCUUAGACUGGCAGCUGCUUGCUCUGGUCUCUGCUUGCUUCCAGAGGAGUCGACCCUAAUGUCUGACAGAGUGCUGUGUGCCUGAAUUUACUUUGGGACCACUGGGCCAUUUCUCCAGUCAAGCCCAGACAGUGCCCUCCCCGCUGGAGCUGCCACCCCAGCUGCCAUCAGCCUCCUCGCAAAGCAUGAAGAUACUUUUUCCUCCAUCAAAUUGAGAGAAAGUCCAUGGUUCCCAGGCAGGAGAGACUGGCUUCAGCCACUCUGUGCAGGGCCAUCUACUCAGCCUUCAGAGCUGAGUAGGAUUCAGGUCCCCCUUCUCCUGGCAUGCCCGACUGGUGGGGUUGAAGGCACUGAAGAUGAAGAUGAACUCUCUCUUUAGGUGCCAGGAUGGGAUGGGGUGUGUGGGAAGUGGGCAGGGGCCCCAGAGCUGCCCCGGCUCCAGCUGGACGGUUGGAUGGGGAGCCUGAUUGUUUGCGAACUCAGCUCUUCUGCAGCUGUUACAUUAAACUUCACCCCCAACCACACCUGGCUCAGUGGGUUUCCUUCAGUCCUCCCAGGCCCCUCUGGGGCCUCAGGGAAGGCGGGACUGGCGCUAGCCUUCGGCUCCUUCAGGCUCAAUACCCGUUUUUGCUCCCGCUGCUCCCGUCUCCUUCCUGCCAUGCACCUUAGGUCCAGAAUUGGGAGGUGGGAGGGCAACCACAUCAGGAACUUGUCAUCCAAGGUUCCAGCCAGGUUUCAUGGGAGACCCACCAUCACCUGACCAUCCUUCACCUUCUGAGUUUGAAAAGAGAGGGAAUGACAAGGUGCCCGUCCCAAAGUUAAGGCCGGAGUCUUCAUCAGCCUCUCCUUCCCACAGCUGCCACAGGCACGUGCAGAGGACCUGACGGACCCUGACUGCCACAGCCAGGGUAGGUCCGGGCCUGAGGAGCCCCCAGAACUCAAUGGCUCUGGUAAUAGGCAAGAGGGUUGGAGAAUGGAUUUCAGUCAAGCCUCACCCCAAUUCCAGAGUAAACAUCCUCCUUCCGACCCCCUUCCUGACUCCCCCUCAGCUGCACACGUCAAGGUGGGGGUGUCACGAGCAGGGACACACAGUCAGGCCCACAGGACUCUCUGCUCAGUGCUUGGAGAGGACCCGACCCCAGCAAUUCAGGGAUGGACACCAAUUGCAGCGUGAUUUAUUGGACAAGACGUGCACUUUUUGACAGGGCCUUGGUAACCACGGUUUCCUCCACUGAACAGUACAGGGCCAGGGUAAAAGGGCUUACAGACAAGAAAGACAAAUCCUUUCCAUGAUCCAAAGGGGAAAGAAAAGAGGAAGGGGGCUUCUCCUUCCUUCUUCCUUCCAUAACACUCUGGGCCUCAGUUCACCCCGUGCCAGAGGGGAGGUUGGCCAAGGGAAGCUGGGCGGCGUGUGUCAAAGCCAGGAGUGGGCUGGGACUGUCCACUCAGGACCAAAGUGCCCGCCAGGCCAUCCACCCUCUCCCCACCCAGGCCCCCCAAGGGUUUGGUUAGAAAAUACAAAAGCGGAUCCAAUGCAGGAUAUGGUGUGCCAAUGGAGGAGGGGACGGAGCUUCUGUGGAGUCUCUCUCGGCCACAGCCCUGCUGAUGCGGAGGGGGGCAGAGGUCAGAUUGCGCCGAGGUGCUUCAGAGAAAGGUCUCUUCUCAAUCCAGGGAGGGUGGGCUGCUGUUGUCACUAGGCUUGGGGAAGGUGGGCGGUAAACGAGGAGCGGAGACUGAAGGGUAGGACCAGAGGGGGCUUCUCCCCUUCCCGCCAGCAGGUGAGUGGGCCGGCCAGUCAGAAGCAGGUUGCUGGUACCUACGGGAAGCCGGUAGGGAAGAGGCUGAGGGGCUGACUCUCAUUGGUGGGCAAUGGAGAUCGGUAGCCAUCAAAGUUUCUCGGGAUGCUGCCGCUGGUGGAGCCAGAGCUGUUACUCAGGGUCUCGAUGCUUCCCUCUCGCUGUAGUUCUGCAAGACAGAAGAGAGGACCGGGCCCGGUCAGAGUGUAGUCUCAAGGGGUGGGGAAUAUACCCUGGGCAGGACUGCCUGCCUUCAGGCACCAAUCUGGGUCCGUUUACAUCCUUCCGCAGGGGGACCCCCACGUGCUCCCGAGAUGGGCCAGGUGGCACCUCAGGUCACAGGGAGGCUCAGCCGGAGGAGGGAGAAGCUCCUUUGGCCGGCAGGCCCCAGUUUUUCCUUCAUUGUGGGAACCCCUUUGGGCCAGAAGUGUGGCUGCCCUGAUGACGUGUCUGGACCACACUGCCAUACACGGGGCAUGUGCCCACGCCUGCACACACACACUCGUGCUCAGCCAGCAUGCGCCCCUACUUCCAUGAGAGGCUCCUGUCCUGGACUGACAGGCCAGGCAGGAGGGGAGAAGCCAGGACAUGGCAAGGACUGCAGCUUCCCCGCCUGCUCUGUCCCUACGUCUCCUCCUCCUGCCCUGCCUGUCCUGGCUCAGCCACGCACGUGCUCACUUGUCCUCACCCACACAAUCCGCCUGCUGGCCAGGCCCCGGUUUAUCUGUGGCCCGUCCUGGAAAGUGGCCUGUUUCCCUGCAGGAGGGAUUGCCUCAUUUGAGAGGGGCUUUCUCCAAUGGGCAGAGGGUCCCUACUUGUCUGAGUACCUCCUUCCUCCCCUCCUCUUGGCUCAGAAGUCUCCUGGAGGCCCCCCAAAAUGUACAUGCUCAGUCAACCUAGGAAGCAGGCAGUGAGGCGCCCACCCCCUCCUCUGCCCCUUCCCUGGGCCUGGCACAGCCAUGCUACCAUCUUGGAUAUGGCAACUGGCUCUAUCUCCCUCAACUGUGGGCACCUUACUCAACUGCCUCACCAUCUCUUGACCGAAGACAGGUACUGGGGUAGGUGGGCUGGGAAUAGACUUCCUUGCAUGCUGAAUGCAAGGAAAAAAAAUAAUUACUUCUUGGCUUUUUGAAAACAGCCAGUUCCCAUCCCCUUUCAGCCCCUCCCAGUGGGCUCUGAGAUGUGGGCACACACCUCCCUGGGUAAACUCUGAACAUCCGCCCCAAGCCGAGAUGUGGUACCUGCAACCUCUCCUCCAAGGUACGCCUGCCCAGGGCUGAUGGGGUCCAGCCUGCCUGCCUCAGGAGCUCAGGGCCUCAGAGCAGUCAUUUGAAACAGCAAGAUGGAUGGACGGACGUCUACCCCAGCCUUUUCCUUCCUCUCCACUCCCAUGGCCGCUGCUGGGGUUAGGCCUGCGCUUCCCGUCCGGAUAGUCUCAAAAGCUCCCUGCUGGGCUCCCGACCUCCAUCCUGAAGCCACAGUGGCCUGUCUGCUGCACAAACCUCCCCUUGCGCUUCCUCUGCUUAAAAACCUUCAUCGACUUUGAAUGGUCCUCAGGAUAAGGUCUAAACUCCUCAGCACUAUCAAACAGCCUUCCACGACCCACCGCCACCCCCACCAAGGCCCCACCUCCCUAACGUCACCUGUUACCGGAUUUGAGGGACCAAAGUAAUGAACUUGGGCAGUUUGGGGGGCUCUCCAGGCUGCUUUAGGCCUCUAGGUCUGUGCUCGUGCAACUCCUUCUGACUGAAAAGUCUCCCUUGGCCCCCAGAACGCCCACUCAUCUUCCAAGCUUAGCACAAGCAUCCACUCCUCCAUGAGCCUGGGCUGUUUUGACGCAGGCCCCACUGCGCUCUAUACUAGCUCCUGCCCUGGGCCCUCAAGCACGUGGUGCGCUCUCCGCCCACACGCAUGUCCCCAUCCAGGGGGACUGUCCCUCAGGGAUCAGCUUGGUGCUUUAUCUCUGCAUUCCCUAGUGCCAACCACAGGGCCUAGAAAGUAGCUGAUGCUCAGAAAACAUUUCUCAAAUGAAUGAAUGAGUGAGUGACGUGGUAAGGAGAUGAGGGACUUCUGCAGCAUGACUACCAGUAAAAGAAUCAGGGGCCUGGCUGGUCCUGGGUGCUUCCCUACAUGCCUCUGUCAACCCCCUUUCUCUUCUCACUAAGACAGGACAACGAGUGUGUGUGGAAGCGGAAGUGGACGUGGAUGUGGAGGGGUGCACACACGGUCCCCUUUCAGGCCCCCCGGCUGCCCAGCCCUCGGAGCAAGCGGCAAACGGAAGUGUGUGGCCUUACCUUCCUCCAUCCCGAACACACGCUUUGUUACUGUUGGGUUGCUCACGGACGCUGGGCUGUUGGCAUUGUUUUUUUUUUCCUUUUUUUUUCCCUUGUGAAAAGAAAAGCAUUGAGGAAUCUUUUGGGAAAAGAUCUGGACAAUGGUGGAGAAGAACACUGAUCUCUGCAAGCAGUUGUAUCAGGACCUCAGGAUCCCUCUCCAUCUUCCCUGCCCAGCAGGCGUUGGCCAUCCAGGCCCCCACCGCUUUGCACCUCCCCCCAGCUGGACCUUGGGAAAUAUUUUCUUUUUAAUCAAGAAAUGGCCCGAAGAGGAAGAUGGCAGAUAUGUGUUUACAGCUUUUCAUUUUCCUCCUUGCCUCUUUGUAAAUACCCUCUUCCAAGCUGGAAAAUAAAUUUCCAACCCUGUUGACGUGCA